rnacentral:lncRNA from 1 species
UGAAGAAUGAUACUAGGUGAAUGGAAUGGUCCGGGAUAGAGGAUCAAGAUACUGUCAUUUCUCUUAACGCCUGAACUCCUCAAACCAACCAAUCCAGGAAACCACUCUCUGAUAGACACCAUUGGCAUAUCCUUCUUGUUCCCAACCUUGAGAUGGGAUGGUCUCGUGGAUCGGGCCUCCUCCAAGGUUGGGGAGACAUCCACACGAGUUUAGGCUUGUGGAGGUGGGUCUUUCCAUUACGAGUCUUAUCUCUGUAAGUAGGAUUGUCUUGAUCUUUGCUUCUUGAAAUUAGAUGUAAGGUUUGGUUUUUCUCUUUCUACGUUCUUCAGUUUUUUUUGUCCGAGUGCUUAGUUGCUAGAAGGCACAGCACACAAGCCUUGUGAUAAGGCAAGGGCCUUUCAACUCAUUCGAAGGACAGGAGUAGACUCGGCAGUAGAAGCAGGGUAAUUUUUCUGUUUUUUUUUCUUUUCUUUUUUGGUGCUGAGGACAAGCCAUUUGUCCGGCUUUCCGUUUUCCUUUUGUUAUUAUUAACCUCCCCUGACACGAGCAUCAAGAAAGAAAAUGAACAAGAUGCAGGGGAGUCAAGACUCAAUGACUAAGCAUUUUUUCGAUUGCAACUUAGAAAUGAUUGAUUUAUUCGCCCCUACUGAAGAUUCAAAAAGCGAGCACUCUCCUUCAAGAUAAGAGGUAAGUAUAAAGGUAAGUAUUCUAUCCCCNNN